AUAUCAAUAAGCGGAGGAAAAGAAACUAACAAGGAUUCCCCUAGUAACGGCGAGUGAAGAGGGAAGAGCUCAAAUUUGAAAUCUGGCGGUCUACGGCCGUCCGAGUUGUAAUCUAGAGAAGUGUUUUCCGUGCUGGACCGUGUACAAGUCCUUUGGAACAAGGCGUCAUAGAGGGUGAGAAUCCCGUCUACGACACGGACUACCAGUGCUUUGUGAUACACUCUCAACGAGUCGAGUUGUUUGGGAAUGCAGCUCAAAAUGGGUGGUAUAUUCCAUCUAAAGCUAAAUACAGGCGAAAGACCGAUAGCGAACAAGUACCGUGAGGGAAAGAUGAAAAGCACUCUGGAAAGAGAGUUAAACAGUACGUGAAAUUGUUGAAAGGGAAACGCUUGAAGUCAGUCGCGUCUUCAGAAAUUCAGCCCUGGCGAAAGCCUUGGUGUACUUUUCUGCUUGGAUGGGCCAGCAUCAGUUUUGGCUGCCAGAAAAAGGUGGGAGGAAGGUGGCACCUCCGGGUGUGUUAUAGCCUCUCAUCGUAUGUGGCGGCCGGGACUGAGGACCGCAGCACGCCUUCAAUGGCCGGGGUUCGCCCACGUAACGUGCUUAGGAUGCUGGCGUAAUGGCUUUAAACGA
rnacentral:rRNA from 1 species